rnacentral:sRNA from 1 species
CAGCGGGGUGGUGAACCUCAGCACCGAGAACAUCUACUCUUUCAACUACACCAGCCAGCCCGACCAGGUGACCGCCGUGAGGGUGUAUGUGAACAGUUCCUCUGAGAAUCUCAACUACCCGGUCCUUGUUGUGGUUCGCCAGCAGAAAGAGGUGCUGUCCUGGCAGGUUCCUCUGCUCUUCCAAGGACUAUACCAGAGGAGCUACAACUAUCAAGAAGUGAGCCGCACCUUGUGUCCCUCAGAAGCAACCAAUGAGACGGGACCCUUGCAGCAACUGAUAUUUGUAGAUGUCGCAUCCAUGGCACCCCUGGGUGCUCAGUACAAACUGCUAGUUACCAAGCUGAAGCACUUCCAGCUCCGGUAAGCGGGACUUUCUCUGUUUACCUGUCUGUGUUUCCUGUGCUUGUGGAUGCUCAAUUCAUCUUCCAUCCUUACAGACUGGUACUCUGGAAGGAAAUUAUCCACUUAGCAUAUGAUUUUAGCACUUCCCGAACUCUCCUGCCCAUAACUGAGCAGCAGGGCCUUAAUCUAUACAAAAGAGUGGGAGUGCAGAAGGUAAGAGUGGU